rnacentral:rRNA from 1 species
UACGGAGGGUGCGAGCGUUGUCCGGAAUCACUGGGCGUAAAGGGCGCGUAGGCGGCUCAUGAAGGCUGUGGUGAAAGUCCGGGGCUCAACCUCGGAUCGGCCGUGGCGACUCGUGGGCUGGAGCACUGUAGAGGCGGGUGGAAUUCCGGGUGUAGCGGUGGAAUGCGUAGAGAUCCGGAAGAACACCAGUGGCGAAGGCGGCCUUCUGGACCAGCACUGACACUCAAGCACGAAAGCGUGGGGAGCAAACAGG